UUCAGUUUAUAAUGCCAUUUCGCCUGAGAAUGUAAUGUAAAGGGAAGAUUUUAACGCCUGUUUUUUGUGAAAGUUACCGCUACAAAUUUUAAUGCAGAAAAUGUCGAAACUCCAUGCCACUCAUUCUGAAACGUCUGAAAUAGUUGCUCGAAAGUGAAUAAUGGCUGUUCAUAAUCUUUCUGAAAAUAAUUUGCCCGAUGCUGUAUUCCUGAUUUUAAUACUUGGACAGCGUAUCUCAUUGAAAAAGGAACAUGUGAAUGUGAAACUUUAAAUUAGACCAGCAAAAGCAACAUUAAUUUGGUGUAUAUGUUUUUAGGAAAACUAAACUUUUGCUGAAAUGUUUCUGCUCUUAAAGAAGAGUGAUCUGUGUCUGAUUGCCUUUAAAAUUUAUGUCAAAUUAAGGUUGUAAUUUCCACCUCAUUUUGAAUGGAUUGAAAUCGCCACGAAGCCAUCUGACGACUAACGCUCUUCUUAGCGUUAUUCCUUUGUUCACGUGUAAAUUUUUAUAA